GGACACCUACUUUGUUUAUAAAUAUACUCCCACCCAUCCCUACGCUCAUCACUCGCUUAUUCUUAGAAAUUCUUUAGGGUUUUGAUUGUUGCUUACACUUCUACUUGUCACUCCUCACAUGAAAUUUUAAGAGUGUUAAUGUCUCAAUCAGUCUCAGGUGGUGUUAAUGGUGUCAAGUGUUAUGGGACGACAAAGCAUAAAAGAGGUCGGUCUCCAAUAGGUUUUCAUGGUGUCAAGUGUGUGUUAUAGGAAGAGAAAGCAGAAAAGAGGGUUAAGAAACGAAAGCUUGUACAAAGAUGUAAUAUUUUUUGUUAUGAUUUUGUGGGCUUUAUAUGUUAGUUCAUUCAAUCGUUCUAUUUCUUGCAUGUCAAUAAACGGGCUAUGUUUCCAUUGGUUUUCUGAUUUCAAUCGGUCUCCAAUGGGUGUUGAUGGUGUCGAGUGUUAUGGGAAGAGAAAGUAUAAAGGUCAAGAAAAGAAAACAAGAAAGCUUGCUUUUCUUCAUAAAAUUUUCUUCAUAAAAGCAUACUCACAUUGACAAAAGAGAUAUUCACUUUGCUUCCCAAACUUGUAAACUUGAUUUUUUGCUCAUGAUAUCAACGUAGAACCUAUUGAUAGUGAUAGAUUUUACAAUGUUUCAGUUUUUAACUUGCAUUCUUUUUGAUAGAUUUUCUGUCAAGUAUCAAAUAAGCUUAGAAGAAAAUAUGAUUCUGAUUUUGGAUAGUGAUAAUUGGCUUCUUACAAGCAUUUCUCCCCAUUUCCUUAUCACAUCUAAUUGUAGGAUUUUUCUAGGAAACAUCUGGUGUUUGAUUUCAUAAAUAUAUUCAACAAGCACAUUAGAUGCAAAAAGUAGUUUUAUAAAAGAUAGGGUCAUACCCUUGAAUUUCAAAUCCAUUUAAGGUAUCGUAUGUUUGACCAUCUGACUUAUUAAGACCAUUUUCAACUUCAUCUAUUAUUACAUCCUUGACCGAAACUAAAGCUUGUAUUGAGGCUUUGAAAAUCUUAAAUAUUCAAUGUGAGAAUACUGUAUUAAUGGCUACCAGCUUUUUUGUCUUUGAACCAGAAGAUCAAAAUUCCGUAGCUCCAUUUAUAAGUCAUAUUUUUAGUUCUGCAAUGUGCAAUCUUGAUAGGCUGAUUUCUUUUAGGAAAUAUGAAUUAUAUUUUCAGUUUAUAUUCCUUUGAACAUAUGUUAUGAUAGGCUGUUUAACAUUUUAUAAUUGGCCUAUGAUUGGUGUUUGUGGUGCAUUAAAAUGAUUACUUCAUAAAUUUUAGUAAAAGAGGGAAAAAUCUUUUACCAGAUGCAUGGGAUGCUAUACUAAUUUAUUUGGUUCUGUAUACUCAAAACCUAGUUUCUUGGUAGUACUUAUACCAAUAGGAACACGGAUAUGAUAUAAUAAUUCUAGAUGAAUACUGCAAUUUAAAAGAAAUACAUGGUCAGCAAAGAUAUGUUAAUGAAGCAAUCAAGAGAUUAUUAAAAGAGAUUAUUGUGAUUUGUGUGCAUAGGUGCAUAUUUAUAUUGAAAGAGGAGAUCAAUCUCUUUUCAACUCAUCUAUAAUGAGAAAGUUGUAUAUUUCUUGAUGCAUCUACGUUGGGAAAUUAUCAUAUAUGUACAUGACUUGCAUAUAAAUUUGAUGAGUAACUCUUGAAGUUGGAUUUCAAGCUGAUAUAGCUGUUAAAGGACCAGAGUUUGACUUUUUUCGGGAGGUGACAUCUGUCGCAGUCAUCAUGAAGCAAGAAAAUCUGCUGCUGCUGCUAAGAUGUUAACAAACUUAAGAAGUGCUGCUCAGUGAUUUUGGCUUUUCUGUUGGAAGAAUACAAGUAAUUACAUGUUUGGACACAAA